GGAAGUAAAAGUCGUAACAAGGUUUCCGUAGGUGAACCUGCGGAAGGAUCAUUAUUGAUUGUGAAUCGUUGCCUCCAGUGCUGGCUCUCGCAAGUGCACGGUUGGUGACUUUCAUCCAACACCCUGUGAACCUUUGGCCUCUUGCUAGCUUCGGCUGGCAGAGGAUUUUUACACACACUCGAAUGUAAUGAAAUUAUUGUCGUGCGCAAGCACUUAUGUACAACUUUCAACAACGGAUCUCUUGGCUCUCGCAUCGAUGAAGAACGCAGCGAAAUGCGAUAAGUAAUGUGAAUUGCAGAAUUCAGUGAAUCAUCGAAUCUUUGAACGCACCUUGCACCCUUUGGCAUUCCGAAGGGUAUGCUCGUUUGAGUGUCAUUGUACUCUCACACUUCUGAUCCUUUGGAUUUGGAGCGGUGGACUUGGGUGUUGCCACUUGACGGUGGCUCACCUCUAAUGCAUUAGUGCAACUCCUGGUUGGACCAUAGUACGGCGUGAUAAGUGUCUUCGCCGGCACCUCGUGAGAGGGUGGCCGAUCGAGAGCUCUGUGCUUUCAAACCGUCCUUGCAAGGACAAUGACUGACAACUUGACCUCAAAUCGAGUAGGACUACCCGCUGAACUUAAGCA
rnacentral:rRNA from 1 species